AAGAGGAAGUCGAUUUUCGAGGCUGCGAUUGAAGGGCGACCGGAUUUCAAUGACCUGCAAGAAUAAAAAAUGUGUAACAAUCAGUAAAUGCGUUAAUGUGACAGAAGAUAAGAGGAUACGCGCCGAAAUCGAGCGUGAAGAUGAGCUAGAGGACUACAUACUGAAAUACUCACAUGUGUUACGGAAAGUUAAAUACCUAUCUUUCUUUAAAAAGCUAACGAACUUGUCAAUAAGGAUGCCCUAGGUGAACGAAGUCUCUUACGGUACGAUCUAUACUCGGACAACGUAUUUGAUCACGUUUGCAUUGGAAUUCUACGUAUUUUCAUAAAUCAUUUAUCUCUCUCGACGAAACGCGUUUUUCUAUGUGCAAUGCAGUAUACGUAAUUGCUGCUUACAUAUGGGAGUACAGCGAUUUGAUUAACAGCCGUUUGAAGGCUGAGCAUGUACAAAAGAGUCGGCACCAACACUAUGUUUCGGUCUCAAUGUCGAGGAAACGCUUUCAUGCUGAUGUUUUAUGGAAAACGCGUCUGAAGCAGGACAAAACCACCACGAAAUUGAAACGCAGAAAAGAGGAGUUACGCGUCAUGUGAGAAUUCUCAUUAGUUUUUGCUUGUCGUUUCCUUGCCUGCUUCUUCAUUCCAUGUACGCAAUCAUCUCUCCCUCUCUCUCUCUCUCUCUCUCUCUUGAGCGAUCAAGUCACAAUUCAUCGAAAAUAGUGUUCAUAGAAUUGUGAGAAUAUUAAGAAGUCCAAAGGUUGAAGCUAAAUGAAUCUAAUCGAAGUCAUGAAUCUUUAAAAUUUAUUAGCACUUAUUAUAGGAAAAAUGAGAAAAAAAUAAAGAUAAAAUCUUGAUACAAGUAAAA